rnacentral:rRNA from 1 species
AUACGUAGGGGGCAAGCGUUGUCCGGAUUUAUUGGGCGUAAAGGGUACGCAGGCGGUUUUUUAAGUCAGAUGUGAAAUCUUACGGCUCAACCGUAAUCAGCAUUUGAAACUGGAAGACUUGAGUUAAGGAGAGGAAAGUGGAAUUCCUAGUGUAGCGGUGAAAUGCGUAGAUAUUAGGAGGAAUACCAGUGGCGAAGGCGGCUUACUGGACGAUAACUGACGCUGAGGCUCGAAAGCGUGGGGAGC